rnacentral:rRNA from 1 species
UGGGGAAUAUUGCGCAAUGGGCGAAAGCCUGACGCAGCCACGCCGCGUGAGCGAUGAAGGCCUUCGGGUCGUAAAGCUCUGUGGGGAGAGAAGAAGAAAGUCUGUGAAGAGCGGACCUUGACGGUAUCUCCUUAGCAAGCACCGGCUAACUCCGUGCCAGCAGCCGCGGUAAUACGGAGGGUGCAAACGUUGCUCGGAAUUAUUGGGCGUAAAGCGCACGUAGGCGGCACUGUAAGUUGAAUGUGAAAACCCCGGGCUCAACCUGGGAAGUGCAUCCAAGACUGCAAUGCUUGAGUUCCGGAGGGGGUUGGAGAAUUCCCGGUGUAGAGGUGAAAUUCGUAGAUAUCGGGAGGAACAUCAGUGGCGAAGGCGCCAACCUGGACGGUAACUGACGCUGAGG